rfam:TPA: Bos taurus chromosome 3, whole genome shotgun sequence.
UCCCUGGUGGCUCAGACGGUAAAGCAUCUGCAUACAAUGCAGGAGACCUGGGUUCAAACCCUGGGUCGGGAA